UAUAGCUUAAUUUGGUAGAGCGUUGCUUUUGCAUAGCAAAGGUUAGCGGUUCAAGUCCGCUUAUUUCCAUUUUUAAAUGAAAGCUACAAAAUUAAAUUCUUUUGGAUCAAAAUUAAAAGGCAUAGAGUAGAAUCCUAGGCAUCUAAAGGUGAAGAAGGACGUAAAAUGUAUACGAUAAGCUUAAUAAGUUAGAUUUAUUAAGAUUUCCUAAUGGGGUUACCUAAAAAAGAAGGUUUUAUCUUUUUUAUUUUUUUUGGAAUUCAUAAAAAAGAAAAAAUAAACUCAGUGAAUUGAACCAUUUUAGUAACUGAAGGAACAGAAAGCAACCGCGAUUUCCGAAGUAGUGGUGAGCGAAAUGGAAAUAGUCUUUUAUUUAUUCUUUUUUUUAUUUUUAGGAAAUAAUUAAAAAUUAUACCAUAGAAGGUGAAUAGUCCAGUACUAAAAAAAAAAGUGUUAUUAUUUCUUAUUAGAAUUAUGAAAUAAUAAAACAAGAAUAAAUAAUCACAAGUAAU
rnacentral:rRNA from 1 species